GACGAACGCUGGCGGCGUGCUUAACACAUGCAAGUCGAACGGAAAGGCCCUGCUUUUCUUGGGUGCUCGAGUGGCGAACGGGUGAGUAACACGUGAGUAACCUGCCCUGGACUUUGGGAUAACUUCAGGAAACUGGGGCUAAUACCGGAUAGGAGCACCUGCUGGAUGGUGGGGGGGGGAAAGUUUCGGGGGGUGGGGAUGGACGCGCGGCUUCUCCGCUUGUUGGUGGGGUAGUGGCUUACCAAGGCUUUGAGGGGUACCGGGCCUGAGAGGGUGACGGGCCACAUUGGGACGGGGAUACGGCCCAGACUCCUACGGGAGGCAGCAGUGGGGAAUAUUGACAAAUGGGCGGAAGCCUGAUGCAGCAAGGCCGCGUGCGGGAUGACGGCCUUCGGGUUGUAACCCGCUUUCGCCUGUGACGAAGCGUGAGUGACGGUAAUGGGUAAAGAAGCACCGGCUAACUACGUG
rnacentral:rRNA from 1 species